rnacentral:rRNA from 1 species
GCAGUCGACGAUGAGAGGGAGCUUGCUCCCUGGAUUAGUGGCGAACGGGUGAGUAACACGUGAGUAACCUGCCCUUGACUCUGGGAUAAGCACUGGAAACGGUGUCUAAUACCGGAUACGAACUUCAGCCGCAUGGCUAGGAGUUGGAAAGAAUUUCGGUCAAGGAUGGACUCGCGGCCUAUCAGCUAGUUGGUGAGGUAAUGGCCCACCAAGGCGACGACGGGUAGCCGGCCUGAGAGGGUGACCGGCCACACUGGGACUGAGACACGGCCCAGACUCCUACGGGAGGCAGCAGUGGGGAAUAUUGCACAAUGGGCGCAAGCCUGAUGCAGCAACGCCGCGUGAGGGACGACGGCCUUCGGGUUGUAAACCUCUUUUAGUAGGGAAGAAGCAAAGUGUUUUACAUGGAGUGACGGUACCUGCAGAAAAAGCACCGGCUAACUACGUGCCAGCAGCCGCGGUAAUACGUAGGGUGCAAGCGUUAUCCGGAAUUAUUGGGCGUAAAGAGCUCGUAGGCGGUUUGUCGCGUCUGCUGUGAAAACUGGGGGCUCAACCUCCGGCCUGCAGUGGGUACGGGCAGACUAGAGUGCGGUAGGGGAGAUUGGAAUUCCUGGUGUAGCGGUGGAAUGCGCAGAUAUCAGGAGGAACACCAAUGGCGAAGGCAGAUCUCUGGGCCGUAACUGACGCUGAGGAGCGAAAGCAUGGGGAG